GUGCUUUUUAAAAAGACUCACAAGUGUGCAUUUUAGAAAAUUUGAAACAUAAAUAGCUAACAUUUAAAACAGCAUUGACUACAUACACAUUUGAAAGGAGUAUGCAUUCAGCUCUGAGCCAAGUUCAUCCAGCUAGAGUAACAAAAAUCCGAGGGCUCUGCAAAGCCAAACUUUGCUAUUUAAAUACAAUCUAGGGGAGAGAGAACUGGGCCCGCGCCUGCGUGCAUUCUCUUCUUCUGUCCAAGUUGAUCGCUUCCCUGCACCAAAGUGAGCAGUAGCCAACAUGUCAGGGUGGGAGUCCUAUUACAAAACCAAGGGCGAUGAAGAAGAAGAAGAAGAGAACCUUGAAGCCAGUGGAGACUACGAACAUUCAGGAAGAGAUAGUUUGAUUUUUUUGGUUGAUGCCUCCAGGGCUAUGUUUAAAUCUCAAAGUGGAGAUGAGUUGACUGCUUUUGACAUGAGCAUCCAGUGUAUCCAAAGUGUGUACAUCAGUAAGAUCGUAAGCAGUGAUCAAGAUCUCUUGGCAGUGGUGUUCUAUGGUACGGAGAAAGACAAAAAUUCAGUGAAUUUUAAAAAUAUUUACGUCUUACAGGAGUUGGAUAAUCCAGGUGCAAAAUGAAUUCUAGAGCUUGCUUGACCAGUUUAAGGGGCAACAGGGACAAAAACGUUUCCAAGAGCUGAUUGGCCACAGAUCUGACAACUCACUCAGUGAACUGCUGUGGGUCUGUGCCAGCCUCUUUAGUGAUGUCCAGUUCAAGAUGAGUCAUAAGAGGAUCAUGCUUUUCACCAAUGAAGACAACCCCCAUGGCAAUGACAGUGCCAAAGCCAGAUGGGCCAGGACCAAAGCUGGUGAUCUCCGAGAUACAGGCAUCUUCCUUGACUUGAUGCACCUGAAGAAACCUGGGGGCUUUGAAAUAUCCUUGUUCUACAGAGAUAUUAUCAGCAUAGCAGAGGAUGAGGACCUCAGGGUUCACUUUGAGGAAUGCAGCCAUCUAGAAGACCUGUUGCAGAAGGUUCGCGCCAAGGGGACAAGGAAGUGAGCACUUAGCAGGUUAAAGCUGAAGCUCAACAAAGAUACAGUGAUCUCUGUGGGCAUUUAUAAUCUGAUCCAGAAGGCUUUCAAGCCUCCUCCAAUAAAGCUCUAUCAGGAAACAAAUGAACCAGUGAAAACCAAGACCCGGACAUUUAAUACAAGUACAGGCAGUUUGCUUCUACCUCGAGAUACCAAGAGGUCGCAUAUCUAUGAGAGUCAUCAGAUUAUACUGGAGAAAGAGUAGACAGAAGAGCUAAAACGAUUUGAUGAUCCAGGUUUGAUGCUCCUGGGCUUCAAGCCCUUGGUAAUGUUGAAGAAGCACCAUUACCUGAGACCUUCCCUGUUCAUGUACCCAGAGGAGUCUCUGGUGAUUGGGAGCUCAACCCUGUUCAGUGCUCUGCUCAUCAAGUGUCUGGAAAAGGAGGUUGCAGCAUUGUGCAGAUACACACCCUGGAGGAACAUCCCCCCCAUUGUGUGGCUUUGGUGCCACAGGACGAGGAGUUGGAUGAUCAGAAAAUUCAGGUCACUCCUCCAGGCUUUCAACUGGUCUUUUUACCAUUUGCUGAUGAUAAGAGGAAGAUGCCCUUUACUGAAAAAAUCAUGGUAACCCCAGAGCAGGUGGACAAGAUGAAGGCUAUUGUUGAGAAGCUCUGCUUCACAUACAGAAAUGACAGCUUUGAGAAGCCCGUGCUGCAGCAGCACUUCAGGAAGCUGGACGCCUUGGUCUUGGAUUUGAUGGAGCCUGAACAAGCAGUGGAUCUGACGUUGCCCAAGGCUGAAGCAAUGAUUAAAACACUGGGUUCCCUGGUGGAUGGAUUUAAGGAGCUUGUUUACCCACCUUAUUACAAUCCUGAAGGGAAAGUUACCAAGAGAAAACACGAUAAUGAAGGUUCCGGAAGCAAAAGGCCCAAGGUGGAGUAUUCAGAAGAAGAGCUGAAGACUCACAUCAGCAAGGGCACACUGGGCAAGUUCACUGUGCCCGUGCUGAAAGAGGCUUGCCAGGCGUACGGGCUGAAGAGUGGACUGAAGAAGCAGGAGCUGCCGGAAGCCCUCACCAAGCACUUCCAGGACUGACCAGAGGCCACGCACCCAGCAGUCCUUCCACAGUGUGACCAGGCUGCCUGACCUUGUUCUCAGCCAGUUAAAAUGUGUUUCUCCUGAGCUAGAAAGAGUCUACCCGACAGAAGUCGAGGGACUUUAUGUUUUUGAGGUUUUCUGUUGCCAUGGUGAUGGUGUAGCCCUCCCACUUCGCUGUUCCUUACUUUACUGCCUGAAUAAAGAGCCCUAAGUUUGUACUAGAAAAAAAAAUAAUGCAAUCUAAUUACACCCAUACUUUAUGUGAUGUUGCCAUGGAGAAAUAUAUUAUGAAUUCCAAUUAGAAAUGCCAGAAAAACCACUCCCUACCUAGAGGCAUUGGGAAAUAGCUAUAGCAGGUCAUCUGCCCUUAGCCAAGGUACAUAGAAAAAGAGACAUUUUCCAUGUAAGAGUGAGUCGUGUCUCUAGGUCAGUCACCACGGGUUACCCACAGUGCAGUAAAAGGGAUUUGCCUUUAAGGAGGCCACGAAUGUGCACCGUUCUCAUCCCUCCUCUCAUCCCUCUCUCAUCCCUGAGGUGCUCACUCAUGUGGCUGCUCAUUCACAAUGGGGGCAUCUCUAAUUAGGGGGACUACUUUAUAUGUUACACCCCAGCAACAUUUUAAUCUAAUUGUUCAUGAGCCCUGCUGACUCUUAAUUACUGUUUUGGUCAUGCACACAGCAGUGACAGUAAUUCCAAAUUAAAAGGUGAGUGAUUGGUAUUAAGCAUUGGAUUAACUUUGUAUAAUAAAUACCAAUACUUGCUAAAUAUACUGGAGCCAGCUGACGACCUCUUUAAGAUGCAGCCAUCUAACUAAAAAUGCUCUGUUUACCAAAAAGGAGUUUGAUGUUAUUGUCUUGUUUUGUUACUUCUGCCUUUAGAUUGCCUCUGUAUCUGAAAAACUAAUUUUGAGUGUUCCUGUUUCAGAUGACUGAAAAUUGUUCUAAAAUGCUAUGCAAUCCUGCCGAAGGAGGCAUUGUCCAAUCAAACCGACAGAUUAUAAUAAAGAGGGAUUUUGUAAGAUUAUAUUGAUAAAAUUUUGUAAGAUUAUAUUGUUCCUUCGGAAAUGGCAUAACCAGCAUUAAAUCAAUCUUCAAAUAGUUCCUUAAGUUUUAAUAAUUGAAAGUUUUGGGUUUCCUUCCCUAAUUAUUCAUCUUGAGCUUUUUAUAGAAUUUCUUGAGUUCAGAACACAUUAGGGCCAUGCGAGGGCUCUUCCAGUAUCUGGUGAGAAGUGAUUAACACACAACAAAACAUCGCCUGUAACAACUUCUAAAUUUGGGGAAAGUUGGAGGUCUGAAGCUAUGGGCCUUAGAAGCAAAAUAUUUAACCUGCUUCCUCCAUUCCAGAGCCAGUGAAUGUUUUGAAUAACUAUUGCUAGGAAGAUACCUUGGGGAAAGUUACCGGAACUUCCUUAGUUUCUCCUCAUGUUGACAAAUAAUCAGUAUCACCCACAGACGUUUUGCAUUUAAUUAGGGCUUGCAUAUACCCUGUGGUGCCCCUAGCAAAUGUGGGCAUACCUCUGGGAAAUGGAGAUCCUAUUUCACAUUUAGUGUUUCAAAAAUAUUCCUCCAUGUGUCAACAAAGCCUUUGCUUUAUCUCAUAUAUAUAUUUUUCAAACAUCCAGAGGAAUUGGUAGAAACACAGUGGAGAGAGAAGGGAAACUGUGGGAAUGGAUGGAGUUGGUACUCUCUUGAGGACUAAUGGUCUUUACUUUUCACUUACAUGCCACCUAAAGAACACUGAAAACCUAUGGACUCCAUGCACAUUUUCAAGUUCACGUCUAAAAUUUUUAUCUUAAAUUUAAAUGAUUAUACAGUAUGUAAUUUCAGAUAUUAUGUGUCA